AUGUGGGCGUGCCGGUCGUUUCUCCGUCGACCCAACCGUCACGACGCAAACCAGAGGACGGCUCAUGGCACGAACCAUCUGACUGCAUCACCACGGAGGCACGUCUCGGACGCCGCCAACAGGGAUCCGCAUCACCCGGCGGCGGCGGCGGCGGCGACGACGAAGAGGCAUCUGUACGUGGUGCUGGAUGACCACAAGCACGAGUACGGCAUCUACAAGCUGGACGUAGGCGGCGAUCUGGACGGCGACCACGAUCCUGACUCUGCCCGCCGUCUUCCUGAUCCCGCGGUCAUCCGCGUGGAGGUGCCAACCGCCGUAGAAGAUCUAGCCGCGCGGUUUGCCGCCCUGGGAAGCUGCAUCAUCACCACCGGCUCCAGCCCAAACACUUACGGCCCAAGGGAAGAGCACUACGGCGUCACCUUGGUCUACGACACCCAGACGGCGGCGCUCUCGGUCGCGUGCAACGUCCCGAAAGGCCUGCGCGACGGCUUUUCGCGAGGCCGCCGCGCCGGCUAUGACGGCGAGCUGGACGCCUGGGUGGGGCUCCACCGCAAGGGCUACGACACGGACGGGCACCUCUGUGUCUGCCGCGUUCCGGUUCCGACGAGCGACCUCGACCGGACCCCGCAACCGCAGUGGAAGGUCGGCGGGGAGAAGGUGCUCCUCGAGCACAAGGACUGGAGGCACGUCGACGCCAAGCUCGUGCACAUGGUGGAGCGCGGCGAGCACUGCCUCGUCGAGCGCCUGCGACGCGAGGGGACGGACGAGACGGAGUGCCUGCCCGACGGCGACGAGUGCCUGCUCCGACUGACCACGUUUCAAGUCAAGUACGGCGACGACGGGGAGCUCAUCACGACCGCGGACCGUGCGUACGCCCGCUCUUACAAGAUGUCGAGGUACCGCGAUGAUUUCGAGGUUGCGGCGUUCUGGAUAUGA
rnacentral:rRNA from 1 species